AUAACGAGCGCAACCCCUACCGUUAGUUGCCAGCGGGUCAAGCCCGGGAACUCUAACGGAACUGCCAGCGUAAGCUGUGAGGAAGGCGGGGAUGACGUCAAAUCAGCACGGCCCUUACGUCCAGGGCUACACACGUGUUACAAUGGCCGGUACAGAGGGCAGCCACCCCGCGAGGGGGCGCGAAUCCCGAAAGCCGGUCGCAGUUCGGAUCGGAGUCUGGAACCCGACUCCGUGAAGCUGGAUUCGCUAGUAAUCGCGCAUCAGCCAUGGCGCGGUGAAUACGUUCCCGGGCCUU
rnacentral:rRNA from 1 species